rnacentral:rRNA from 1 species
AUGUGAUUGUUAGCUGGCUUUUCGAAGCAUGUGCUCGUCCGUCAUCUUUAUCUCUCCACCUGUGCACAUUUUGUAGUCUUGGAUACCUCUCGAGGAAACUCGGAUUUUAGGAUCGCUGUGCUGUACAAGUCGGCUUUUCUUUCAUUUCCAAGACUAUGUUUUUAUAUAUACACCAAAGUAUGUUUAUAGAAUGUCAUCAAUGGGAACUUGUUUCCUAUAAAAUUAUACAACUUUCAGCAACGGAUCUCUUGGCUCUCGCAUCGAUGAAGAACGCAGCGAAAUGCGAUAAGUAAUGUGAAUUGCAGAAUUCAGUGAAUCAUCGAAUCUUUGAACGCACCUUGCGCUCCUUGGUAUUCCGAGGAGCAUGCCUGUUUGAGUGUCAUUAAAUUCUCAACCUUCCAACUUUUAUUAGCUUGGUUAGGCUUGGAUGUGGGGGUUGCGGGCUUCAUUAAUGAGGUCGGCUCUCCUUAAAUGCAUUAGCGGAACUUUUGUGGACCGUCUAUUGGUGUGAUAAUUAUCUACGCCGUGGAUGUGAAGCAGCUUUAUGAAGUUCUGCUUCUAACCUGUCCAUUGACUUGGACAAUUUUUGACAAUUUGACCUCAAAUCAGGUAGGACUACCCGCUGAACUUAAGCAUAUCAAUAAGCGGAGGAAAAGAAACUAACAAGGAUUCCCCUAGUAACUGCGAGUGAAGCGGGAAAAGCUCAAAUUUAAAAUCUGGCAGUCUUUGGCUGUCCGAGUUGUAAUCUAGAGAA